rnacentral:rRNA from 1 species
GUGGGGAAUCUUCCGCAAUGGACGAAAGUCUGACGGAGCAACGCCGCGUGAGUGAUGAAGGUCUUCGGAUUGUAAAGCUCUGUUAAUCGGGACGAAAGAGCCUAGUGUGAAUAAUGCUAGGAAGUGACGGUACCGGAAUAGAAAGCCACGGCUAACUACGUGCCAGCAGCCGCGGUAAUACGUAGGUGGCAAGCGUUGUCCGGAAUUAUUGGGCGUAAAGCGCGCGCAGGCGGAUCUGCCAGUCUGUCUUAAAAGUUCGGGGCUUAACCCCGUGAUGGGAUGGGAACUACAGAUCUAGAGUAUCGGAGAGGAAAGUGGAAUUCCUAGUGUAGCGGUGAAAUGCGUAGAUAUUAGGAAGAACUCCAGUGGCGAAGGCGACUUUCUGGACGAAAACUGACGCUGAGGCGCGAAAGCCAGGGGAGCGAACGGGAUUAGAAACCCCAGUAGUCC